rnacentral:rRNA from 1 species
GUCCUAGCCGUAAACGAUGGACACUGAGUGGAGGAGGGCUUGCCUUUCUCUGCUGCAGCUAACGCGUUAAGUGUCCCGCCUUGGGAGUACGGCCGCAAGGUUAAAACUCAAAGGAAUUGACGGGGGGCUCGCACAAGCGGUGGAGCAUGUGGUUCAAUUCGAUGCAACGCGAAGAACCUUACCCGGGCUUGAAGUGGAGGUGGUAGGAACCGGAAACGGUAACGACCCCGCAAGGGGAGCCUUCAUCAGGUGUUGCAUGGCUGUCGU